GCCGCUCCCGACGCACCCCCAUCCAGACCAACACCGCCCCCGCUCCACCGACGCCUCCCCACAGCCCUCCGCCUGCAGCGCCGCCGCCUCAACCCCGUCCACCGCCCGCUGGCCAACCUCGCUGCCGCUGCCACCCACCGCCGGUUCCCGCGCUUCCGCUUCUCCGCCUCCGCCGCGCCGGCUCCAUCCCCUCCCAACACCCGCAGGCUAACCCGCAUCUGGCGGCACCCUCGCUGCCUCGCCUCCCGCCGCCAUGCUGGCCGCCUUCGAGGUUUUCAUGGCCGGAGGGGAGAGGGAACUCACCGGCAGCGCCUCCCGGCGGGAUGAGCAGCUCCGACGGCGGAGUGCUGGUUCACGAGAGAUUGGAUGAGGGGUUCCGAAGAUGCAAGCGACGUCGUGGCUCACGAGAGUCUCUGGUGCUCGGAUCCCCGAUUCCGGCGAACAGCUGCGGCCGAGGAUGACAAUCUACGUGGAUGCCAUGGUCGUGGCGGUCGUAUGCGCUUCCCGGGCGAGGUGGUGGUGUUCGCCGGAGCCCGGAGGAGGAUUUGGAGGAGGGGAGGCGACCCCCUGGUGCUACCUGCUGCUGCCGGCCAGCAAGACAUCCCCACGGGCCUAGUCGAGGCGGCCCCUGCACGACCACCUCAAGAAGCUUGAGACGACGAUGAACCGGAUCAACGCGCCGCUGCACGACGCUGGAGACAACCGUGAGGCUGCGGCUCAGGGACCUGACGCAGGUCAUGAGGACUUUGUCUGACCAUCUCAAAAAAUGGGGGGAAAAGAACUGUCUGAUGGUGCAAGGUAAAUUAGGGAGAGGUUUGAUGAGAUUAUUUAGGACUUUGAUGACCUAAGUUUGUUUGAAACUGCGCCCGGUUGAUCCUGAUAACCAUAGAGUGGGGCAUACAAGUUCAGCUGUAUUGAGCCGAGCAUUGUUGGAAGAGAACUGGGCAGGCACGACGCGGUAGAAAUGUUCUUGUCAGGAGGCAGAACUAAAGCUAGUCCUAUGUCCGUUUCGGCCGUAAUUGGAAAGGGGGGAGUUGACGAGACAAAACUAGCGCAACUGUCCUCCAAUGAUCCUGGGGUAUGCCAAUCUUUGAGAACAAAUUCUUGGGUCUGCGUAUCGGUUCGUUUGGAUGUUGAUAACAUGACUGGUAGCAUCCAUACUUCUUUGAUAGAGUGGUCUGAUAUAACAGGAUUUGUCGAUCUUCAGGGUGCAUGAAUCAUAUUGAUAGAAAGAGUGUUCAGCUUGUACUGGACAAUAUUUGGAAUAAGCAUCUCAGACUGUUGGCAGUCGUAGUGUUCAGCAUUGUUCACUGCAGGUGUUUGUAUGAUCAUAGUUACUGCUUGCCAUGAGGAAGUGGCAAGAGUGUGGAAACAUUGCCUGCAUUUGACCUUACCUUAGUCACCGGGAAUGGGCAUCUCAGAUUGCUGGUUAGUCGCUGGUCAGACAAAUAGCAUCUGAAGGUUAGGAAAACAUCCUCCAAAAAGAUCUGUUCAAAAUUGGUAGAAGGGUUUUUUUUGAGAAGUGCAAAGGCUUACCAUUGGCAGUUAGGAUACCAGGAAAGUAGGAAGUAUGUUGCGUUACAAAGCAAAUCAGGAAAGAUGGUCAGAAGUCCUGGAAAAUGAGGUAUGGGACAUGGAGAAGGCACACAGUGGAAUUAUGCUGGCACUUAAACUGAGCUUGAAUCACAUGCCUGUGCGCCUGAAUGUUUUCGUUGCCCUGUCAUUGUUCCUGAAGAAUACACACUUCGUAAAGAUGAGAUGAUUUCUCUGUGGAGGUCACUAAAUCUUCUUUUAUCUGCUUGUGGAAAUGGUGAAGGCCAUUCUGGAAAUCUUUGUCUCGGUUACUUAGAUCAAAAUCAGUUUUGGAUUAUAGUGUCAAUUUGUACACCAUGCAUGACCUUACCAAAAUCAGUUUUGGACUAUAGUAGCAAAUUUUAGAUUAUGACUUGUGCACCCUACAAAAUUCUUAAAAAUGAUGCAUGUAAAAUAUCGUACUGUAUAUGUCUCCCUUUCCUCUACAAUCAGGAGUCCAAACUUACUUUCAGUGCUGUCAAAUGCAAGCGUUUAGUUGAUGCAUUCCAUUAGCAACUUGCAUGUACCUGAUGUUCCACAGGACUUUGUCUGACAAUCUCAAAAAAUGGGGGGAAAAGAACUGUCUGAUGGUGCAAGGUAAAUUAGGGAGAGGUUUGAUGAGAUUAUUUAGGACUUUGAUGACCUCAGUUUGUUUGAAACUCCGCCCGGUUGAUCCUGAUAACCAUAGAAUGGGGCAUACAAGUUCAGCUGUAUUGAGCUGAGCAUUGUUGGAAGAGUACUGGGGAGGCACAACGCGGUAGAAAUGUUCUUGUCAGGAGGCAGAACUAAAGCUAGCCCUAUGUCCGUUUCGGCCCUAAUCGGAAAAAGGGGAGUUGACAAGACAAAACUAGCACAACUGUCCUCCAAUGAUCCUGGGAUAUCGGACUGUAUAUGUCUCCCUUUCCUCUACAAUUAGGAGUCCAAACUUACUUUCAGUGCUGUCAACUAUGCAAGCAUUUAGUAGAUGCAUUCCAUUAGCAACUUGCAUGGUACGCCCCUUCACUCUUCAACCGGCAUGAAUACUAGAUUCUGUGUUGAAAUGGCCAAUGGCUUAUUUGCUCAGUAUAAUUCACUUUUUAAUCGUAUAUUUGCAAUCAUAGCUCACAAGGUUCUUUGUUUGACCUCUAUGAUUUGUAUGCUAGUUUUCAUUUUAAUUGUCUGGAUAUUCUACCAAUCUUCCUCCUAAGUUCCUUUUCAUGUUAACUUCUUUUAUACGGCCAUUCAUUUCUUGUUCAUAAACCUUGGUUUACAUUAAGGUCAUUUCACUAAAAUGAACUCGAAAUAAUGCAAAUAAAUUGAUGAGGGGCAAGUGUUUCCAUCCAUAUGAUUCCACUACAUAUAUGUUUUCCGACUAAUUUUUUGUGAUCUCACUUGAUCAGAAUUCAGAAGUUUCUUGUGUCUAUUGCCUACUAGCACAUAUGUAUGUUAUAUGGCUGUACAUAUUCCAUUAUUAGCAUGUCUGUUGUAUUAUCACAUUGGGUCAUGAAUUCUCUCUCGUUUUUUAUAUUGGUACAAAAGUGAAAUGAAUAGCACUGGAACCGUUUCAAUGUACUUGUUUUAUAAUGCCUGUGACUGUUUCAUUCUUUUUAAUUUAUCAAGGGAUGUGUUUUGUGCUCCAUCAGAAAAAAGGUUGCGCAUAUUGAAGCACAAUAUAUAAAAUAGUACAGGGGUAAAACCUACCAGAUAUAAGAUACCAAAUAAUAAAUCCGUAUCCUAGGAAAUUAGUUACUAAUGUUUGAGUUAGAUAUUCCUGUUUGUUUUGCAACCAAAGGUUGCCAAGUUGUGCCAAACAUUCAUGCCUAUCUUGCCUAAGUUGUGGCGAACAAAAACGCCACCACAACUUAAGCGUGACUAAGGGAAUGUUGCCACAAUUCUAGUGUCCAUGACAUGUGGGAUCCAGUUAGAAAAAAGUUUGGCACGACUAAACUUUGGCUAGAACCAAGCACUUGCCUAAGGAUGCCUAAGAAACUGUGGCAUCCUGCCAAAGUUCUAACGGAAGUUGCAUAAAGUGAAUAACUAUGUAUGCUAUUUCUUAUCAAGCAGAACAUUAGCAGUCAAUAGAAAACCAAAGAAAUUUUAGUACAAGUUGAUUCUUUUCACAUGUAAUCAAUAGCAGUACAUAACCAUACACAUAUACAGCCAUGCAAUCAAGUAACACUAGAGCCCUAAAAAAAAAUGUCAAGUAACACUCGAGAAUUAGAUUCCAGUAACUCACAUCCUGCUUAGUGUUUCCACCUGUAGGCAAUUCAUUACAUAGAACAUCGCCCUAGUGCAUACUUCCAUCGCCCUAGUGCAUACUUCAAGAUUCGUCAGCUAAAAGUCGCAAGAACUUGAAAGAUUGUGCUUGCUCAGCAGCACAGGUGAUGUCCACUACAGGCCUACAGCCUUCGCUCCAAUUGCCAGGGUUGCUCAUCGCAUAGCCCAGUGGGCAAGAGCAUGCAGGCGCAGGCAAGUAGUGGCAGAUCCCAUUUGGACCGCACAAACCAUGAAUAUUGCAAGGCUGAGACACUGCAACCCAGGAAACCAACCAUCUCCCAUCUGAGCUGUUCAAGUUGUAGAGUCGGAGAUUACCAUCAGGAUCCAGAGUAAGCCUUUGUUUGAUCCCAAGACCUUCAUCAGAAGUAACAAGUGCUUGCUGGUUGGCGAAAUCACUCGAAAAAAAUUUGCCGGUAUCAUCUACACCCCCAAGCCUUGUACUGUUAUUCCGAUUUCUGUUAUUCUGAUACUCUCCUAUGUCAGGCUCUAGCUAAUAUAUUUCAUGAACCUCAGCAUCGUUAUAUAUAAGCGACAGUAUAGAUGAAUCUGUGAAAUGAAAUAUGUAGUGACCUGGGGCAUGCAACCCAGUUCUGGAGACCAGCUUUGUAGUUGCAGUGAUGCGCUGGGUGGGAAGCAUAGUGUGUGUGGGUGAAUCAAAGCUCGCCACACAAGCAUGCCACUGGAAUUCUUCAUGACAAGGUUUCCAGUGUCCAGGAGCUGAGCGUACUGCACGCCGGCCGAGUUCCCUUCUGCUGACGCUCGGUCAGAUUGCAGCCGGGCCUCAGGAACCGAGCUGACCAAAUGCACAGCACCGAACAAGCCAGAGCUCUCUGAUGAUGUUUGGUACUUCGGCUGGCUUCCUCCUGUCACAGUCACGGGCCCAGGAAGCAGGCAAUUUUUCCUUACGUGGCGAUCGCUAGCAGGAACCGGCAGUCCACGCCACGCUCUUCGGAGUCGAUGAAGGUGAGCAGCUAGCGUGCAGCAGCGACAGAGCACGCGGUAGCAGAGGCAGCAACACGUGGAUGCAAGCAGGCAGCGGCGGACGGUAGCAUGCGGACGCAAGCGGACAGCACAGCAGCUAGAGCGGACGGCAGCGCGCUACGCGCGAUCGGCCUAUAGGCCUAAUGCGGCGGCGAAAAAAUAGAUCAAUUGGAAUAAUUGUCUAGGGAAACAAAUUCGGCUGUAGCUAAGCCGAACAAAUCACGAAAUCGCUAAAAAGUGUGUUAGACAUGAAAACGUGUCACGCCAACUAUUGAGUUAAUCUCUUGCUAUCCUCUUCCCAAAAACGAAGGGAACCUUUUGUUUUACUAUAGAAAUCACAUCUCUAUCUCUAAUUUUCAACCAAACACAUAUAUUCUAUUUUUCAUUACCUAUCAUAUCCCUAGUCUAAUCAUUAUAGGCCUUCAAUUACCGGCAGCCAAAAAAAAAAUCCGGCGCUGCAGCCCGACCAAUCACUCGAAAGCCCGACCACGACAUCCACAGCUAGCCCUCGACCACGGUAUCCGACCACGGCCCUCCAUCGCUCGACCACAGCAUCCACAGUGCACGACCACGACAUCC